rnacentral:rRNA from 1 species
GCGACCUCACCUCACGCGGGGCU